rnacentral:lncRNA from 1 species
UUCCCUGUUCUUGUAGGGUCUGAUCUAUAGCCCGUUUAGUUCGAAUGUCUGAUCGAUCUCAAGUUCCGUGUUAUUUUGUGCAAUUGAAAACCAGUGACUGAUAACAAUAAUAGUCUGGGCGAAUUUCGACACUCUGAACAUCAUUUGGCUAGACGAGAAAGCUGUUGAUUCCUCUGCUGCCGGACACGUGGUGUUUAAGGUUUUUGCCGUCUUGGAGAGAAGCUUUAGUUAGAAGCAAAGAUGUAAAGAUACGUCGCCAUUGGAGGCCUGCAGAAAGAGAGGGACAAAUGCUGCCAGCUAAGUUGAGGCCAUUUGGAGGCAGGGUAUGAGAGGUGCCGGAUAUGGCAGGCGACCAAGGUUUUUAUCUUCCUUGUAUGCACAGAUCAUCGUUAAGCUCGAUCAGAAUUCCCAGUGAAUUUCAUUUUUAAAACAUUACAGAAGUUGGAAAUGAUUACAAUUCAUGGGGUGGGAAUCAUUAGUUGUUUUAUGUGUAACUGUGGAAAUAAAGCAGCUGAAUAAAUACAAGCUUACAACUCUGGAUUCGAUGACUUUUUCAUUCUUAUUCUUUCGCGACAGAUAUGUAUUUGUGGUUUACUCGUAUGUUAUUGAUAAAUUAUUAACAA